rnacentral:rRNA from 1 species
GUGCCAGCAGCCGCGGUAAUACGUAGGUGGCGAGCGUUGUCCGGAUUUACUGGGCGUAAAGCGCGCGUAGGUGGCUUCUUAAGUCCUGUCGUGAAAGGUCGCGGCCCAACUGCGACAGUGCGCGGGAUACUGAGGAGCUUGAGGGCAGCAGAGGUCGGUGGAAUUCCCGGUGGAGUGGUGAAAUGCGUAGAUAUCGGGAGGAACACCAGAGGCGAAGGCGGCCGACUGGGCUGUACCUGACGCUGAGGCGCGAAAGCGUGGGGAGCGAACCGGAUUAGAUACCCUCGUAGUCC